rnacentral:rRNA from 1 species
CCUACGGGAGGCUGCAGUGAGGAAUAUUGGGCAAUGGACGAGAGCCUGAACCAGCCAAGCAGCGUGAAGGAUGACUGCCCUAUGGUUGGUAAACUUUUUUUAUAGAGGAAUAAAACGAGGCACGUGUGCCUCUUUGCAUGUACGUUAUGUACAAGGAUCGGAUCACUCCGUUCCAGCAGCCGCGGUAAUACGGAGGAUCCGAGCGUUACACGGAUUUACUGGGUUUAAAGGGAGCGUAGAUGGGUUGUUAAGUCAGUUGUGAAAGUUUGCGGCUCAACCGUAAAACUGCAAUUGAUACUGGCAGUCUUGAGUACAGUAGAGGUAGGCGGAAUUCGUGGUGUAGCAGUGAAAUGCUUAGAUAUCACGAAGAACCCCGAUUGCGAAGGCAGCUUACUAACCUGUGACUGACGUUGAUGCGCGAAAGUGUGGGUAGCAAACAGGAUUAGAUACCCGGGUAGUC